GCAUCAUGGCUGGAUGGUUAAAGCGCCCAACUCAUAAUUGGUAAAUUUACAGGUUCAAUUCCUGCAAGAUGCA
rnacentral:tRNA from 1 species